rnacentral:lncRNA from 1 species
GGUGCGUGUUGUCGCAUUCGAAUCUGCAGCUCCUUUCACCACCGUUCAAUCUCWUACAGAUUUGCAAGAAAAAAAGAAAACGGCAGCAAGAAGGAAGCCGGAUUUUGUUAGCUCCUAAUUCGUCCCCGGUUACUUAGAGCUUACAAACGAAAGCGGGUCUGCGGCGAGGAAAAGCGCUUCUCUGAAAAGCAGACAGAGAACGGAGGCAGAGCUCAGAAGAAAGCUGGCACGUCAACAGCUGUGGAAGUUCACCGAAAAAUAAUCAGUUAGUUAGUACAAGGAACUUAGCUAAGAAACGGCGUAACGUAACAAUUACGCCCAACGAUCUUCACUUACAGUGAAAAAACAGUGUUUCACGGUCUGGGGGUGCACGUAAAGAAAGCUGAACGGAGCUCGGCUUGGAACGGCRUUGAAAUCCAUCCGAACGGGAGACCUCGGCUCCGGAGAGGAAAGCAGCUGAAGACCCAUCAUUCUUCCUUUUUUUGGCAAYGGACCUUCAAUAGCUGUCGGCAGGAGCUCCCCCAAGCCCUGGAGAAGGUGGAGGCGGUGAAGCUGCUUUGCCCCGAAUUGAGCAGCACGCGUGACACAGGCGCCCUCUGCGCAGCCGAUGCUCUCUCUCUGCCCAGGUCUGCUUCCCUCCGCUCUGGAAAAUCUUCUUCACGCUGUAUWCAUUUUCUGUGGCUAUCCACAUUAGAACAACAGCCUCGAGAAGAGCUCACGUGCUUCACUUCUUCUCCAGCCCCAGGCCACGGCCCGCGGGGCUGGAUGCUGCGUCUGAUGUACGAAUGCAACCUGGCAGCUUUCUCUCYGCCUGGUGAAACGCAGAGCGACCUCCCGGCGCUCCGGAGGCGGCUGGCAGCUCGGAGCAGCCAGGGAAGCCCCUCCAGGCAGCGCGGGCUCCGAGACCUGCUCCUGGUCACCCGUCCUGGGUCACCGGUGCCUUCCCAAGCUCCCGGGAACAACCGGGCKCGGAAGCCUCCCCGGGAGGAGGAGGAGGAGGAGGAAACGCUCCAGGGAAGGCUUGGUUGCUCUGAGCCCUGCUUGUUGUGCUGCUCUACUGUGCUUUAACUACUCGGUGUUUUUUUAGCUCCAGGAUGUCUUUUCAGCACUGGAGAUAGAGGGAGAUUAAUGAGUGAAGCUGGAAAGGAAUCGGCACCAUUGGUCACCUUUCCCGACCUCCCGCGCACUGCAAACAAGUUUAAAAAAAAAAAAGUCCUCGCCUGGCAGAGAAGGCUCACGAGUGCCUCCGCGAGCCCGGCUCCGCGGUGGCUUUGGUGACGUUGCACCCGGUGACCCGCACGCUUCGGCCCCCGGCGCCUGCCCGGAGCCGCUGCCUCCCGCCCGCCACGGCGGCGACCUGGGGCGCCUCGCCUGCGCUGCUCCCGGGGGCUUAGCCCUGCCCCGAAGCUGCUCCGGGCCCCUCUGAGCCGCACACUUAGCGGUUUCAAGCUCCAGAAGCAGCUUAGCAGCACCAGGCACUGCCUGCAGCCUCUCCCCCGCGGGCCGAGCCCGUGUAAUUCUCUUGCGAAACGGUAACUCCAGUCCGYAGCCUUAAAUUCUGGAGGUUUUAUUAAAAGCUCUUUAGAAACAUUUUUAUGAGAGAGACAUCAAAAAGGGGAUCCCAGGGGAACAUAUGACGGGGGCGUUUUAGGUCCCGCG